rnacentral:rRNA from 1 species
CUGGCUGUUCCAUAUCACCCCUGAACCUGCCUGUUCUCAUUGAUUGUGGAAAGGAAGUAGGGUAGAGCUUGGUUACUACUUAGAUGGAAGAUUACCUGGGAUCUCCAGGUAGCGGUAGGA